rnacentral:rRNA from 1 species
AUUGAACGCUGGCGGCGUGCUUAACACAUGCAAGUCGAACGGUGAACGAGGGAGCUUGCUCCCUCCGGAUCAGUGGCGAACGGGUGAGUAACACGUGAGCAAUCUGCCCUGGACUCUGGGAUAAGCGUUGGAAACGACGUCUAAUACCGGAUACGAGGCGUGGGGGCAUCCCCAACGCCUGGAAAGAACUUCGGUCCAGGAUGAGCUCGCGGCCUAUCAGGUAGUUGGUGAGGUAAUGGCUCACCAAGCCUACGACGGGUAGCCGGCCUGAGAGGGUGACCGGCCACACUGGGACUGAGACACGGCCCAGACUCCUACGGGAGGCAGCAGUGGGGAAUAUUGCACAAUGGGCGAAAGCCUGAUGCAGCAACGCCGCGUGAGGGACGACGGCCUUCGGGUUGUAAACCUCUUUUAGCAGGGAAGAAGCGAAAGUGACGGUACCUGCAGAAAAAGCACCGGCUAACUACGUGCCAGCAGCCGCCGUAAGAC